rnacentral:misc_RNA from 1 species
AGCAGCCGCGGUAAUUCCAGCUCCAAUAGCGUAUAUUAAAGUUGUUGCAGUUAAAAAGCUCGUAGUUGAAUUUCGGGAUCAAUAUAUCGGUCGUGCCUUGGUACGUACUGGUAUCAUUGGUUUCUCCUUUCUGACGAACCAUGAUGUCAUUAAUUUGGUGUUAUGGGAAGUUAGGACUGUUACUUUGAAAAAAUUAGAGUGUUUAAAGCAGGCUUUGGCUUGAAUACAUUAGCAUGGAAUAAUGAAAUAGGACGUUCGAACCUAUUUUGUUGGUUUCUAGGAUCAACGUAAUGAUUAAUAGGGAUAGUUGGGGGCAUUAGUAUUCAAUUGUCAGAGGUGAAAUUCUUGGAUUUAUUGAAGACUAACUACUGCGAAAGCAUUUGCCAAGGAUGUUUUCAUUAAUCAAGAACGAAAGUUAGGGGAUCGAAGACGAUCGGAUACCGUCGUAGUCUUAACCAUAAACUAUGCCGACUAGGGAUCGGAUGAUGUUAAUUUUUUAAUGACUCAUUCGGCGCCUUAC